UCUUCCCCCUUUCUUCGUGCCUAAUACAUGCAAGUCGAGCGAACAGACGAGGAGCUUGCUCCUCUGACGUUAGCGGCGGACGGGUGAGUAACACGUGGAUAACCUACCUAUAAGACUGGGAUAACUUCGGGAAACCGGAGCUAAUACCGGAUAAUAUAUUGAACCGCAUGGUUCAAUAGUGAAAGACGGUUUUGCUGUCACUUAUAGAUGGAUCCGCGCCGCAUUAGCUAGUUGGUAAGGUAACGGCUUACCAAGGCAACGAUGCGUAGCCGACCUGAGAGGGUGAUCGGCCACACUGGAACUGAGACACGGUCCAGACUCCUACGGGAGGCAGCAGUAGGGAAUCUUCCGCAAUGGGCGAAAGCCUGACGGAGCAACGCCGCGUGAGUGAUGAAGGUCUUCGGAUCGUAAAACUCUGUUAUUAGGGAAGAACAAAUGUGUAAGUAACUAUGCACGUCUUGACGGUACCUAAUCAGAAAGCCACGGCUAACUACGUG
rnacentral:rRNA from 1 species